rnacentral:rRNA from 1 species
UACAGAGGGUGCAAACGUUGCUCGGAAUCACUGGGCGUAAAGGGCGUGUAGGCGGACAUGUAAGUCGGGCGUGAAAUCCCUGGGCUCAACCCAGGAACUGCACUCGAAACUGCGUGUCUUGAGUACCGGAGAGGAAAGUGGAAUUCCUGGUGUAGAGGUGAAAUUCGUAGAUAUCAGGAGGAACACCAGUGGCGAAGGCGGCUUUCUGGACGGUAACUGACGCUGAGACG